UGUUCUGGUUCUCUGGGAUGCCAAUUAUCUAGAAGGACACCCAUAGUCCUAAAGGCUCACUGACUGCCGGGAAUGACAUGAGGAACGUUUUGUCACAUUUAAUCUGAGUAAAGCCUUACCUACCCUGGAUGUUAUUUAUUGUUCCCAUUUUACAGAUGAGAAAAAGUUCCAGAGGAUUAACAGCUCACCAAACUCAUCUCAUGCAACGGACGGGGUUAGACAAAAGUUGGACGGGAAGCUGGAAUUCAUUUCCGGUUGCCAGGUAACGGGGUUAGAGAAAAGGUGGACUGGAAGCUGGAAUUCCAUUUCCGGUUGCCCAGGUAACGGGGUUAGACAAAAGGUGGAAGGGAAGCUGGAAUUCCAUUUCCGGUUGCCCAGGUAAAUGUCCCUGGGUGGUUUUGGUGACGAGCUCACACUGACUCCUGCUGACUGCCCUGCUCUGCUGCCGCCGCUGCUCUUGGCAACCAGGGAGCAGAGAAAUGGCUGAAGACAGAAGGGUGUACUCUGGCCUGUUGAGAUGGCUUAGGAGAAUGGAACCACAUGGUCACCAAGCAGACAACGGCAGCAGUGGGGUGACAGCUCCCAAUGCCACCACUCAACUCCGGUGAUAACGGCCAAACUUAUAUUCAGGGCAAGGCCUGUACUCUCUGCCACUGCCUGCUUCUUUGGGAAAGCCUUCUGUAAUCCUAUCAGAGACAGGGGUCUCACCGUGUUGCCCAGACUGGUCUUGAACUCCUGGGUUCAAGCAAUCCUCCUGCCUCAGCCUCCCAAAGUGCUGGGAUUACAGGUGUGAGCUACCACGCCUGGCCCAAAGAACUCUUUCAAAAAAGGAAACAAACAGUACCUUGCAUUGGAAGAACAAACAUCAUGAAAAGCCAUCAGUAGAAAUGAGACCUCAACUUUUCCAGCUGCAUUCCGAUCUGAAGUGUGUGGCAGUUCAGGAGAGAUGGCAGCUGGCACAGAUCCCACUCAGGAUGUAGAGAAUGCUUACCAGCAGCGAGGGGAUCAUGAGAGCUGGCAAAACGAAUCCUCUAAGCAGAUGGACUGGCCUCACUUUGCCUGCUCAGAGUGUUCUCCUGUGAAUGCUGAGAAUACUGGAAGUACCCAUCAGCACCGGACUGCUGAAAAGAUCAGCUUUUUGAAUAAAACUGUGACAUCAGCUAUUUUAGGACUUGCCACUUCAGUUCAUAAAACCCUAAAGCCUACAUUUUGGUUUUAAUCUUAUUUUUGUUAAAUAUUUACAAUCUACUGCAAAACCAAAUUCAGACCAAAUGUCUGCUUACACAACCUUGUGACAUGGUCAUUCCUCCUGACAAGAGGGAGAGGGAACUAACAUUUAAUGAGCAUUUACUAUGUGCCUGGCACUAGACCCGCCCGUUCCAUGUUUCAUCCUCACAGCAAUGCUGGGAGGCAGAGAUCCACAGUUCACUUGGGGUAUGUGGGCCCAGAUGAUGUCACGUUGGCCCAGACAGGUGAAUCAUUUGCUCAACACCCCAAAGGAAACCCUGGAGGAGUUAGGUCUGUCUGACUCUAAAGUUAGUGUUCCUCCCACUGCCCUCUGGUACUGGCCAGUAUAACCUAGAUAAAUUGUUUCUCCAGAAUUUGCUACAAGAGCCUAUGACUCUAGAGCAGACAUUGGCAAACUUUUUCUGUAAAGGGCCAGACAGUAAAUAUUUAAUUUUUUUAGCUUUGUGGGCUAGUCUCUGUUGCAAUGGCUCAAUUCUACCACUAUAUUGCAAAAAGGCAGCCAUAGAUAAUACAUAAAUAAAGGAACAUGGCUGUAUUCCAAUAAAACUUUAUUUUCAAAUACAAGCAGUGGGCCAGAUCUGGUUCCCAGGCUCUAGUUUGCCAACCCCUGCUCUACAAAGUUCUAGAGUUGCAGCUGCAUGUUACUUGGGUUUAGCAUAACAAAGGCCCAUUUCCAACUUAAUUAACAAAAAUGAAUCUCCCAUAUUCAAGACUACAAGAGAGAUAAAAGAGGGGGUGAAAGACAUGGUCUGUGCACUUACGGAAUUGACAUUCAUUUGGGAAAAAAAGGCAUAGGCACAUAAAAGUCAAAAAUAGGAAGAUGAGGUAGCGCUCAGUAAGUGCCAAAGGAGGAGACUUGAGGGCCAAGGGCUGACUGAUGGGCCACCACGAUAUUAGAAAACCAGAGUUCACAACCUGAUCAAAUACUCUUACAUUGGCACCAGAGCUCAGAAGGAGUUGGAAAAACCUCUCAGUGGGCAAGAAUGAAGAAUGAGUCAGAAGUUACUACUUUAAGCACUAAUGAAAACACCCAUUCUGGUGAGACCACACCAAGGUUUUUAGCAUGUGUCAGAUACUAAUCAAAGAUAAUACGUAAAUAAAGGACAUGGCUGAUUGGUUUUUAAUUAACAAAAAUGAAUCUCCCAUAUUCAAGACUACAUGAGAGAUAAAAGAGGGGUGAAAGACAUGGUCUGUGCACUUACGGAAUUGACAUUCAUUUGGGAAAAAAAGGCAUAGGCACAUAAAAGCCAAAAAUAGGAACAUGAGAGGAACAUGAGGUAGCGCUCAGUAAUUAAAAAUGAUCCAUCUCAGCUGGGCACUGUGGCUCAUGCCUGUAAUCCCAGCACUUGGGGAGGACUCGGUGGGAAGACUGCUUGAC